ACUUGAGUGACUCCCGCCCUCACCUGAUUUAGGCCAAGUUUCCUCUGUCCUCGUUGUCAUAAAGAAAAAACAAUUAUAUACAAUUAUGUUCAUUCAAGGAAAAAAUUUCAAGAAGUAAACAAUAGUUCUAUGCAGUAUGAAAAAAAAGAAGAUGUAGUUAAUUGUUCAAUUUCUUUUGACUAUAAGAUGCUUUUGAUUUCAAAAUUUAGACAACUCUUGAUGUCACUUCUGGAAUAGGAAAAGUUAUAUUUUUUUGAGUCUACGGUAUGCUAGCAUUUUGAUUGAUCUUUGAGCCCAUAAAAGUUAGUAGAGUUUAGUAACAAAUCCAUUUCAUUAAGAUGCUAUUUCGAACGGCAAAAUUAUCCAUUUAGAAUUCUCUAGCAAAAUAAUCUGAAAUAUUUACAAGAUCAUCCAUGUAAAGAUGUCGCAAACAUCGCAAUAGAUACUCAAUGUAAUCAGAACACAAAAAAGAUAUUCAAACUAAUUAUAUCAUUUUUAUAUCAUCUGUUGCUGGUGCACUUCAGAUUCUAGGUCUCAAAAGAAAAAUAAAAGGUUUAGAUAGUCAGAAGGCUAAAAGUAAUUCAAAGUUCAGAGAGUGACCUGUACAAAAUUUUAACUUAACUAUAGGUAUAAUGCACGAAACUGAGCUUCCACCAAAAGUAGAGGAAGGGAGACGAGGUCUUUGGACAUUUUUGCCUAACUUGCUGCAAUGUUGUGCAAUUAUUGUUCCCCUUCUAUCAACACGAACGGUUAUGAUGUUCAAUAACAUUCUCUCGGGAGAAUUCUUCUUCUAAUAUAACUAAUAAAUGGCGUUAGAACUUACAAUUUACUCCGCAUCGGACCACACGACGCCAGAUUGAUUCAAGUUAUCCUGGUCACAAAGCCAACUUUGCUUUUUCGGACGCCACCUGAUGAGCGACAUCGUCAAGCAUAAUAUAUGGAUUAUCGCUCGUGAAAGUUCUAAUGGCGGGCGUGUGUCUAGUCCCACAUCGAUUAUCUGCUAGGUAGAUUUUGGGUACUUAUACAGGAUUAAGGAACCCAAAUAACAUCUUCCAGCUAGCCACUUUGGAUGAGAUCCUAGGUUGUUUCAAAUAGUAUAAGACAUUAUUUGGCCCAUAAUGUAUGUGGAUUAUGGGAUACUAUAGCACGGUUUCAUUAGGGCUGAUCACAAUUCGAUUGUGGUGCUUGUGAUUAAAUUUAAAUGGAUUUGAAUCUUUACCCCUAAAAUGGGAAGAGUAUGUGAGGAUCCGUGCGGACGUAUGCUUAGUUCUACAUUGGUUAUCCGCCGGGUCCGAUGAAUGACCGAAACCACCUGUCUCCUCUUCAGCAAAAUUUUCACUAGUGUUUUGCUCGUGGGAUCAUGGGCAGGGUAAAAUGCGCAUGGGUUUUUAUCUGGAUCCUGGACCCAUGGGCCACAACAAGCUAUUGAGUGUAUAUUAUUAUAUUAAUUAUGACUUCUUAUCUCUGUGAUGACUAUUCCAAAUUUUUUCCCCUCUUCAAUGACUUCACAUACAAACUUAAUCAACCCAUGGCCAUUCUCCUAGUUCACUUCAGGCUCUUCAAUGAUCCAGGUUAUUGAUUCUAAUCACCCGACAGAUGAAUCUUUAUGAAAUUAAGGAUCAAUCAAACAACCGCACACGAGAGAUUUCAACCAAUUACACCCAACGAACAAGAAGAAAAGAGAUCAGAAUCACAGCACGGUAGACUUCAAAAUUUCUAAACUUGCUAUGCAACUUCAAAUCCUUUGGAUGCCAAUUACCAACCUUGCACAACCCCCGGCAACAGUUUCCAACAACCCAAAGUCAUUCAAAAUCACAAAGAAAGCACUUCCUGUAUUAUUAUUAUAGCCCCAUCAUCUAAUUAAUAUCUACAUCAUGUCUAAAAUAGAGACAGGAGUACUAAGUUUGAAGUUUGAACCACAGCUGAUACAAGUCUAUAUGUUAUAAGAGCUAGCUAUACUACUGCAAUAAAAAUAGAAGGAGAGCAAUAGUACUCGAGGAGGACUGGCUCAAGGGCUGAGAUUACACUGACGGAAGUGCUUUUGUGCGGUGCGGUUCUGGAUGAUCCCAUAAUCUCCUCCUUCAACUCCAUGCUCUUCUUCCAAAUCAGGUUGCUGUGGAAAGCAUAGAAGCAGGCAGCCCAAGAGGCUCCUCAACAAGGGAGAACCAAGGCAUAUAGCAUCAAUCCACUCCACCUGUUGAUCAGCCCCUUUAGACAUAAUCCCUGCAGAUGUGUUUGCAAGAGAAACUUCUCAAGAAAAAUGACUCUCUGCUGCCUAUAUGAGAACGAAAGGAAGCAAAGACAUAAAAGAUCAAAGUCUAUUGCUUUGGUACUCCAUUUUCUUCAUUGCUUGGUCUCUCUCCUCCUACUUUACCAAAUUAAUAUGGAAUCUAUAAAGUGGAAUCGUGCGGAGGAGCAUUAAGUCUUGCACGCGCAUCUUGGGUAAGACUCUCUCUCUCUCUCUCUCUUUUUUGCGCCUUGGCUCUUGGGUAAGACUUUAGCACGCGCUUUUGGAGAGUCCCUU
rnacentral:lncRNA from 1 species